rnacentral:snoRNA from 1 species
AAGCCAAUGAGGAAUAAUAUUAUUUUAGUUGGAAUUACCGGCUGAAUUCGUCUUGAUGUCAAAUAUAGGCUGUUUAUCUGAGGCUUCUU